CCAGAUCCAUCAUCGCCGCCCCCUCUCGCCUCUCCCCCGAUCCACUCCCGCCGCUGCCUCCGCCCCCGCCCCCUUCUCCCCAGACUGAGAGAGAGGCACCGCCGCAACGGAGAGAGGGGCGCCGCCGUGGCCCGGACUCUCCUCCUCCUCCUCCUCCCCCCACAACUCGCCCACGCCAAAUCCGUCUCAGCCACCGGCCAGCCAGAGAGCGAUUCGCCGCCGCCGUCACCGCUGCUGCCGGCGUCAAGCCCCUCUCACCACCUAACAGCCUCACCCUCGUGGCCCCCGCCCCCUCACGGGCCCCGCGUCUCCCACAAGAAUCGCGCCCGCCCGUCUAGGGUUUCCGCCGCCGCCGGAGAGGAGGGGAGGGGAGGAGCGGAACCAGGGCGAGAUGGCCGGACGGCUCCUCGGGCAACUCCUCGUCAUGGGCGGCGCCGUCGUCGGCAGGGCCGUGGUCCAGGCCUACUGCCAGGCCAUCGUCGACUCGAAGGAGACCAUAUGCAAGGCACCUCCUCUUCGGCUGUGAGAGUGUCCAGGGGUCGUGGGUGCAGCUAAUGCCUAUGUCUGUGGCCGCACUUGACACUGCCCUCUCUUUAAGGGCACAUAUCAUUUUUUAUAACUCUGCUAUCUUUUCCCAAGUCUUUAUUAUCUUGCCUAGCCUUGUACUGAUAUGUAUUGUUUGAUGUUAAUUACCCAAGCUAGUGCAUGAUGUUAGGGAUAACCUGAGAGCACUUGCCUAAGUUUAUAAGAUAUGACAUGUGUCAGUCCAAGCCUGCUGCUCUUUCAAUGCUUUUGCUGCUGUACUGUGUUUCUCUAGUUGUUCGAAUGUUUCUGCUUCUUUUGGACCUGAUGAUAAGGACCUUUCUUUUCUCCCGUGGGUUAAAACAAUGGGAGUUUGCAUGGAAGGUUCUCUCGCUGUAUGUGAACAGCAGUAUGAUGUUACUUGGCAAAUGUUUUUUCUAUGACAUGAGGGAAGAGCUACUAUCAUGUGCAUGGAAGGUUUUCAAGUGAGCACUUGUUAGUUUGUUUAGUACUUAUGUAGUAUGGGAAAUAUGCAUAGGUAUGUCCAUGUGAUUUUUAAGCAUGCUUACUGCCUACCUGAUACAGAGUUCUAUAACUGAUGUUCUUUAUUUGACAGUCUAUAGUCUCUUAUAGUUGAAAACUUGAAUAGUUACAUUAUGUGUGCUGCUAUGUCUCUUAUAGUUUCAGAAAAACAUUAAUUUAUCUGUCCUGUUCUAUUAAUCCUAAAGAUGAAACUCAUGCAUAUGUUGCUUAACCUGACUGGCUUGAGUAUUGUUCCGAACGAAUUAUACUACAGAUUCCCUUCACUGUUUUUCUUCUAGUUAUCUCAUAGGAUUACUCAUGAGGCACAUCUAUUCUCUCCAUUUUUUAGAACAAAAAUGUGAUUAAUUCAGCAUGCUUAUGAGUAUCAUGCUUCUGAAUAUCUCCAAGCUGGAUAUUUCCAUUAAACAUGUUUCUGAAUACCUCCCAUAUAUAUUUCCGUUAGUCUGCUUAGUGCAUCAUUAAGAUUAUAAGCAUCAUUUUCAUUGAAUCCUGGUUACAUAUUUGUGUGUACUCAAGUUGAAAAUGGGACUUGGAAUAAUAUGCAAGUUUCAUCUUUUCUAUUGCAGCGAGUGGGUCGGUUAUGCACUGGCAGCAUCCUUGCUACUAGCGGUGGGCGCGAUGGUCCGGGCCAAGCAGAGAAAGAUAGGUGAGAUAUGCUCAGAGGUGAUCAUCGACAAGUCCUCGGACAAGAUGACGAUGGAGAGUAUAGUGGAGGCACAACACAUCAUGAAGAAGGUGCACGAGUACGUCAAGACGACGAACGUCGUGAUCCUCAGGCUAUGGUCCAUUAUUCUAGCCCGGUCACCAAAGGAAAUUCACCUGUGCGGCGGCGGCGGGGAAGGAGCAGCAUCGGCAGCCCUGACAGAGGAAGCCAUGUUGCCGUUUUGUUUGUUCCCAGCCUUGACUAUGGUUGUCCAGCGAGUCCGGCAUGUCGUCAUUUUCUUGUAAAGCAGUAUUGUAUCACACUUGUAGAGCUCGUUACACAUGUAGAUCUUGUAAAGUACUGUAUUACACAUGGUCAUAUGUAUUGGCAACGUGAUCUGGUUGCUCUUAUUUGAA